GAGACCAGUUGGCUGCGACUGUUUAUUAAAAACAUAGCACUGUGCGAACUCGAAAGAGGAUGUAUACGGUGUGACGCCUGCCCGGUGCCGGAAGGUUAAUUGAUGGGGUUAGCGUAAGCGAAGCUCUUGAUCGAAGCCCCGGUAAACGGCGGCCGUAACUAUAACGGUCCUAAGGUAGCGAAAUUCCUUGUCGGGUAAGUUCCGACCUGCACGAAUGGCGUAACGAUGGCCAAGCUGUCUCCACCUGAGACUCAGUGAAAUUGAAAUCGCUGUGAAGAUGCAGUGUAUCCGCGGCUAGACGGAAAGACCCCGUGAACCUUUACUACAGCUUUGCGCUGGACUUUGAGACUAUCUGUGUAGGAUAGGUGGGAGGCUAUGAAAUGUGAACGCUAGUUUGCAUGGAGCCAUCCUUGAAAUACCACCCUGGUAUUCUUGAGGUUCUAACCUAGGCCCGUUAACCGGGUUGGGGACAGCGUAUGGUGGGUAGUUUGACUGGGGCGGUCUCCUCCGAAAGAGUAACGGAGGAGUACGAAGGUGUGCUAAGCAUGGUCGGACAUCAUGCGGUUAGUAUAAAGGCAAAAGCACGCUUGACUGCGAGACGGACAUGUCGAGCAGGUACGAAAGUAGGUCUUAGUGAUCCGGUGGUUCUGUAUGGAAGGGCCAUCGCUCAACGGAUAAAAGGUACUCCGGGGAUAACAGGCUGAUACCACCCAAGAGUUCAUAUCGACGGUGGUGUUUGGCACCUCGAUGUCGGCUCAUCUCAUCCUGGGGCUGUAGCAGGUCCCAAGGGUAUGGCUGUUCGCCAUUUAAAGAGGUACGCGAGCUGGGUUUAGAACGUCGUGAGACAGUUCGGUCCCUAUCUGCCGUGGACGUUGGAGAUUUGAGAGGGGUUGCUCCUAGUACGAGAGGACCGGAGUGAACGAACCUCUGGUGUUCCGGUUGUGUCGCCAGACGCAUUGCCGGGUAGCUAUGUUCGGAAUAGAUAACCGCUGAAAGCAUCUAAGCGGGAAGCUAGCCUCAAGAUGAGAUCUCCCUGAGGGCUUGACCCUCCUAAAGGCUCGUCUAAGACUAAGACGUUGAUAGGUUGGAUGUGGAAGUGCAGUAAUGUAUGAAG
rnacentral:rRNA from 1 species